rnacentral:rRNA from 1 species
AUACGGAGGAUGCAAGCGUUAUCCGGAUUUAUUGGGUUUAAAGGGUGCGUAGGCGGUUUGCUAAGCGGGAGGUGAAAUGCCGGCGCUCAACGUCGGAAGUGCCUCCCGAACUGGUGGACUGGAAUGACUCUGCCGUGGGAGGAAUGUGUAGUGUAGCGGUGAAAUGCUUAGAGAUUACACAGAACACCGGUUGCGAAGGCAUCUCACGAAGGGUUGAUUGACGCUGAGGCACGAAAGCGUGGGGAUCAAACAGGAUUAGAUACCCUGGUAGUCCACGCAGUAAACGAUGAUGGCUAACCGCUGGUUUAUUCGGAUCAGUGGCCAAGCGAAAGCGAUAAGCCAUCCACCUGGGGAGUACGACCGCAAGGUUGAAACUCAAAGGAAUUGACGGGG